rnacentral:rRNA from 1 species
CGACGCUGGCGGCGUGCCUAACACAUGCAAGUCAACUUGACUGAAGGAGCAAUCUGACAGUAGAGUGGCGCAAGGGUGCGUAACGCGUAAGUAACUUGCCCAAGGUAAGGAAUAACGUCGAGAAAUCGGCGCUAAUACCUCAUAAUGCAGCGGAUCCGCAUGGAUAUGUUGUUAAAGGUUUACCGCCUUGGGAUAGGCUUGCGUCUGAUUAGCUAGUUGGUGUGGUAACGGCACACCAAGGCUACGAUCAGUAACUGGUCUGAGAGGAUGAUCAGUCACACUGGAACUGAGACACGGUCCAGACUCCUACGGGAGGCAGCAGUGAGGAAUAUUGGGCAAUGCUCGAAAGAGUGACCCAGCAACGCCGCGUGGAGGAUGAAGGUAUUCUAUAUCGUAAACUCCUGUGAGAGCAGACGAAAGACAGAUUAUUAAUCUGGAUGACUGCAUGCUCAGAGGAAGCCCCGGCUAACUACGUG